GGGCUGUGAUGAUAGAAAGUAUUUAGUCAUGCACCACUCUGAAUAAGAGGAUUUGUUUUCUCUCUGUGCUGACAAACAAACUUACUACCCAUUAUUUGUCUGAGCCU